CGCAUCCGUGCAUGCAGUAUAUCAAUAAGCGGAGGAAAAGAAACUAACAAGGAUUCCCCUAGUAACGGCGAGUGAAGCGGGAAGAGCUCAAAUUUGAAAUCUUAAAGGGUCUCCCUUUACGAAUUGUAGUUUAAAGAAGUGUUUUCUGUUGAGGUUUUGGUAAAAGUUCUUUGGAAUAGGACAUCAUAGAGGGUGAGAAUCCCGUAUUUGACCUUUACUUUCAACUUUGUGAUACACUUUCAAAGAGUCGGAUUGUUUGGGAAUGCAGUCCAAAAUGGGUGGUAAAUUUCAUCUAAAGCUAAAUAUUGGCGAGAGACCGAUAGCGAACAAGUACCGUGAGGGAAAGAUGAAAAGAACUUUGAAAAGAGAGUUAAACAGUACGUGAAAUUGUCAAAAGGGAAGCGUUUGACACCAGUGUUGUUUUUCUGAAAAUCAAUUAAAGAACUGUUUAUGCUAAGUUGUUUAGACUUUAUCAGCUAACUGUUUAGUUUUGAGCUUUUCUUUAAUGCACUUUUCAGUUAACAAGUCAACAUCAAUUUCUUUUGCUGUAAAAAAGCUUGAGGAAGGUGGCUUGAGAUUCGUCUUAAGUGUUUAUAGCCUCUUGCCUAUGCAGUCGGAGAGAUUGAGGUCUGCAGCGUAGAUCCUUCGGGGCUAAAUGCAUUUGUGCUAAGUUAUAGCAUUUUAUAGACAACUUGUUGACUAUGAUUUGUCUUGUAGCUUACUCGCUUAUGUUAUUUUACCUACGCUUAGGAUGUUGAACGCGCACAGAGUCUC
rnacentral:rRNA from 1 species